GAUGAACGCUGGCGGCGUGCCUAAUACAUGCAAGUCGAGCGAACGGACGAGAAGCUUGCUUCUCUGAUGUUAGCGGCGGACGGGUGAGUAACACGUGGAUAACCUACCUAUAAGACUGGGAUAACUUCGGGAAACCGGAGCUAAUACCGGAUAAUAUUUUGAACCGCAUGGUUCAAAAGUGAAAGACGGUCUUGCUGUCACUAAUAGAUGGAUCCGCGCUGCAUUAGCUAGUUGGUAAGGUAACGGCUUACCAAGGCAACGAUGCAUAGCCGACCUGAGAGGGUGGUCGGCCACACUGGAACUGAGACACGGUCCAGACUCCUACGGGAGGCAGCAGUAGGGAAUCUUCCGCAAUGGGCGAAAGCCUGACGGAGCAACGCCGCGUGAGUGAUGAAGGUCUUCGGAUCGUAAAACUCUGUUAUUAGGGAAGAACAUAUGUGUAAGUAACUGUGCACAUCUUGACGGUACCUAAUCAGAAAGCCACGGCUAACUACGUG
rnacentral:rRNA from 1 species